rnacentral:piRNA from 1 species
AGUAAAAACCCUGAGACAGUAUGGAAAAGG